GUUGCAAUAUCAACAUCAAGCUGCCACAAACCAAAUCACAACUAUCACUCAAAAUUGUAAAUGGGUACAUAUAGCACAUGCAUGACCUAACCACUGUUCACAAAAGCUUGACUGCAUUCUAGUGCGUACAGCAAUGAUGGUUUAUCAGAUCUAUGUAUAAAAUAUACAAUGAUAACAGCACUGCCUAUCAGACAUGAAGAAAAUCAAUAAAACACUUAAAAAAUUGCACAUUAUUAGACAUUACAUUUGUUUUGAAACUAGAAACCAGAUUAAGAUUAUAGAAAAUUUUAAAAAAGACCAAAUAACCCAAAAAAAUCCGGACAUUUGUGCAUUAAAUUUAUUUUUUUUUUAGAAUUUGAUAACAUUAAAAGGUAAUUGCUAGGAAUAUACAAGUGAAGAAUUCUCACAUUGAUAAAAGAUGAGAUGAAUGAGACAUAUGCAUGAGAAGAACCCAUAAACCCAUUACCUUAAGAUUUUGGAUAUUUGGUGUAAGCUUAUAAGUGUCUUUCACAAAGCCCAUACAUAAAAGAUUCUCUCCAAGUACUUUGAACUCUCCAGAUCUCUAACAAAUGGUAUCAAAGCCGAUAGUUCGGCAAGGGCAAGUAUGGAGAUGGUAGUCAGUUACUCCCGUGGAACUCUGACACAUGGAUGUAGAGUCGAGACUCAUGGUAUGCCUAAUGGAGCAGAUGGCACUCUUCUGGAGAAGAAUAAAUCAAUAGAGUGGAGACUCUCAGUACAUGUAAUGGCUAUAGUGUAGCACUUAAAAGUGCAUGCUCAGGUGAGUUUGGUAGAGUAAUAGGCUCUUGUUGACGUCGUAAUACUUGAGUUAAGAAAAAGGCUUUCUUUCGAGGGGGAAUAGGCCCAAAAAGCCCAAUGUAGAAAGAACUCACGCUUGAGGAGGAGAUUGUUGGAGAUAUGCAAGUGUGGAAUUUCCACAUUAAUAAGAGAUGAGAUAAAUGAGAGAUAUGUGGGAAGGACUCAUAAACCUAUUGCCUUAAGAUUUUUGGAUGGGUUGAAUGUGGUGUCAAGCUUAUGAGUGUGUUCUUUCAUAGGCCCAUCAAGAAAGGAUUCCCUUCAGGCGCUUUAGGCUUUCCCAAUCUCUAACAACAGUUUAGCUAAAAUUGAAAAAGCAAAUACUGAUUAGGAUUUUUUUUUAUCAUUUGGCCUUCCAAGAAAGAAAAUAAAGUCCAUUAAAUGUUUGAUGUCAUGAAUCUCAUGAUUGAAAGAACCAUUCUUAAAAACCUCAUAUUUAAGGGUGAGCAGAAUUUGAUUCGAACCUUAAAAAAACAACCAAACUGAUUUAAUUCAGAAAUUCGGUUCAUUUUUAAGGAAAAAAAUUUGAUAGAACUGAACCUAACU
rnacentral:misc_RNA from 1 species